rnacentral:rRNA from 1 species
AUUGAACGCUGGCGGCAUGCCUUACACAUGCAAGUCGAACGGCAGCACGGGAGCAAUCCUGGUGGCGAGUGGCGAACGGGUGAGUAAUAUAUCGGAACGUGCCCAAUCGUGGGGGAUAACGUAGCGAAAGCUACGCUAAUACCGCAUACGAUCUACGGAUGAAAGCGGGGGAUCGCAAGACCUCGCGCGAUUGGAGCGGCCGAUAUCAGAUUAGCUAGUUGGUGGGGUAAAGGCCCACCAAGGCGACGAUCUGUAGCUGGUCUGAGAGGACGACCAGCCACACUGGAACUGAGACACGGUCCAGACUCCUACGGGAGGCAGCAGUGGGGAAUUUUGGACAAUGGGCGCUAGCCUGAUCCAGCAAUGCCGCGUGCAGGAUGAAGGCCUUCGGGUUGUAAACUGCUUUUGUACGGAGCGAAACGGCUUCCACUAAUACUGGGGGCUAAUGACGGUACCGUAAGAAUAAGCACCGGCUAACUACGUGCCAGCCGCCGCAGUAA